rfam:Streptomyces autolyticus strain CGMCC0516, complete genome.
CUUGAGCGAGCCCAGCCACAGCGGACGGUCCUCCGGUCGCCCCUGGCCGUAGGUGGCCAGCAGCGCCUGGGCCUC